rnacentral:misc_RNA from 1 species
GCGCUCCAUCCAGCGCGGUCGACCGCGACCGGCGGCCGAGAGGGCCGCUCGGGCUGGCGCACGACCCAGGUGACAUGUCUCUGAUGGUGGCCAGCAGCAGCCUGUUGGGCGGCGCGCCGCCGGCGCCGGCCACACCCGUCGGCCCGGCCCGGCUGGAGGCGCGACGGCGCGACAGCGGCGACUCGGAGGCGCGCUCCACGCACAGCUCCAGCAACAGCACCGCCGAUGACCAUUCGCCCAACAAGAUUUUCGUGGGCGGCAUCAGCUUCCAGACGACACCCGAGAAGCUGCGGGCGUACUUCGCGCCGUACGGCACCAUCCUGGACGUGAUGGUGCUCAAGGACCCGGCCACGAACAGGAACCGCGGCUUUGGCUUCGUGACGUUCGCCGACAUAGAGUCGGUGAACAAGGUGCUCAGCCAGGAGGAGCACAUGCUGGACGGCAAGAAAAUCGAUCCGAAGCUGGCCACGCCCAAGGGACAGAAGGCGAGCGGCGACCUGAUGAUCCCGCGCAAGGUGUUCGUGGGCGGCGUCAGCCAGGAGACCAACUCGCAGGAGCUGCUCGAGUACUUCUCGCAGUUCGGCAAGGUGCUCGAAUGCUCGCUGCAGAUGGACAACAACACGAAGCGGCACCGCGGCUUCGCGUUCGUCACGUACGAGAACGAGGAGCACAGUGCGCGCGUGGUCAAGAAGCACCACCACGUGAUCAAGAACAAGACGGUCGAGUGCAAGUACGCGCAGCCCAAGGAGACGAUCCAGGCGACGGAGCGCGCCAAGCGGGCGCAGCUGCUGUCGGUGAUGCAGUCGGCGGCGGCCGGCGGCUCGCUGACGCCGCUGGCGGCGCACGUGCAGCAGGUGCAGCAGCACUACUCGCGCGUCAUGACGGCCGGCGGGCCGGCCUUCUCGGGCCUGUCCAGCUUCCGGUACUCGCCGUACUCGGUGCCGGUGGCGGCGGCGUCGCCGUCGCUGGGUCAGCAGCUGGGCGGCCUGCCGGCCGGCGUGGCACCGGUGGGCGGCGCGCUCUCGGCGGCCGCCCUCCAGCCAGCCGCGCUCCCCUACCAGUUCGCCAACAUCGACAUGAGCGGCCUGCAGGGGAUCGACUGGGGCGGCGCCGCGCCACUGUACGGCAUGUACACGGCCUAGGUGGCGCUCCACCCGCCCCGCCGGCGGCGGCGGCUGUGAGGAGCGAGAGCGAGAGCGCGAGAGACUGAGCGAGAGCGACGGCCCGGACUAGUAUGUGCUCAGAGCGAGCGUCGAGCCCAGGCGGUAAGAAGGAGCGACAUUCCAGAGGUGCUCUAGUCUAGAUACGGCAGCUCAAAGUUUGGGUAGCUUUAUGUAGACUGCAGAUUUCGGAGAAAACAAUCAAAAGCUUCCAUGCGUGAUGCGGUGCCGUAGUCCGCCCAGUCGCGUAGCUGUUUUGAAUGGCGGAAACUCGUGUUGUCGUAUUAUGGCCGUGUAGCGUCGGAUGCCCCCGAGUGCACCCUGCAGGCGGGACCGUGCCGUAUCCAUAGUCGCGUGCUCAGUCGGCCCAGCAUCGGCCGGGCUUCAGCGACGCCGCAGGCUGCCGCGAGCUGGCCGCCAUUUCGCGUGACAAAUCACGGCCGGGGCUAACUGGUCGCCGGCCGUCCCGGCGUCACCAUGGAGACGCACAGGAUUUAUCGCCUCGGGCGCAAGUCGACCGGCCGGCCGGCUGCGUCCAGCCGCGCCGGCCGGUGUCGCCGCCGCCUCCGCCACUGCUUUCCUCU